AAAAAAAACAGUGAAAAAAAACUUUCUACUGUUUUAUGAAACACAACACACAUAAAAUAAUUACAGGUGCUUGAUUCUGCAACAUUGACUCAUUUGAAUAGUCCCACUGAUUUCAACUGGGCAACUUGCAUAAGUACAGAUGACUCACAUGAAUUCAGACUACAGACAGUUCCCAGACAAACCUGACAUGAGAUCCUCAUCCAAACUGAGUCACUGGGAACUACCAGAGGCUGCUGGUGUGCAACCCUUAGAGCCGCCAGAUUCUUAAACUACAAAAGGAGACAUGAAACACGUAACCUAAAAAGACUCAUGUAAUGUAUGACUGCACUUUAGGCUCUUCGUUUGCACUCUUAAAGAAAAUGAGAGAGCCAGAAAGAAUC